GGAUGCGAUCAUACCAGCACUAAAGCACCGGAUCCCAUCAGAACUCUGAAGUUAAGCGUGCUUGGCCGAGAGUAGUACUAGGAUGGGUGACCUCCUGGGAAGUCCUCGUGUUGCAUUCC
rnacentral:rRNA from 1 species